AUGGUGGCUCAUCUCCAAUCCCUCUACUAUACUGCAGAUCCUCCUCCCUCCUCCCUCACUAUUCUCUCUCCCUCUCGUCCCUCACUAUUCUCUCUCCUCCCUCACUAUUCUCUCUCCCUCUCGUCCCUCACUAUUCUCUCUCCCUCCUCCCUCACUAUUCUCUCUCCCUCUCGUCCCUCACUAUUCUCUCUCCUCCCUCUCUAUUCUCUCUCUCCCUCUCGUCCCUCACUAUUCUCUCUCUUCCCUUACUCUUCUCUCUCCCCUCCCUCACUAUUCUCUCUCCCUCUCUAUUCUCUCCCCCCUCCCUCCCUCACUCUUCUCUCUCCCCUCCCUCACUAUUCUCUCUCCCUCUAUUCUCUCCCCCCUCCCUCCCUCACUCUUCUCUCUCCCCUCCCUCACUAUUCUCUCUCCCUCUCUAUUCUCUCCCCCCUCCCUCCCUCACUCUUCUCUCCCCCCUCCCUCCCUCUUCUCUCUCUCUCUCCCUCCCUCACUCUUCUCUCCUCCUUCACUAUUCUCUCCCCCUGCCUUACUCUUCUCUCCCCCCUCCCUCCCUCUUCUCUCCUCCCUCCCUCACUCUUCUCUCCCCCCUGCCUUACUCUUCUCUCCCCCCUGCCUUACUCUUCUCUCCCCCCUGCCUUACUCUUCUCUCUCCCCCUUCCAUCACUCUUCUCUCUCCUCCCUCCCUCUUCUCUCCCCCCCUCCCUCCCUCUUCUCUCCCCCUCCCUCCCCUUACUCUUCUCUCCCCCCUCCCUCACUCUUCUCUCCCCCCUGCCUUACUCUUCUCUCUCCCCCUUCCCUCACUCUUCUCUCCCCCUCCCUCCCUUACUCUUCUCUCCCCCCUCCCUCACUCUUCUCUCCCCCCUGCCUUACUCUUCUCUCUCCCCCUUCUAUCACUCUUCUCUCUCCUCCCUCCCUCUUCUCUCCCCCCUCCCUCCCUCUUCUCUCCCCCUCCCUCCCUUACUCUUCUCUCCUCCCUCCCUCACUCUUCUCUCCCCCCUGCCUUACUCUUCUCUCCCCCCUGCCUUACUCUUCUCUCUCCCCCUUCCCUCACUCUUCUCUCUCCCUCCCUCCCUCUUCUCUCCUCCCUCACUAUUCUCUCUCUCUCUCUUUUCUCUCCCUUUAUUUACAGCAUCUCCAUCUAUUUUCUCCUCUCUCGCUCCUCCAUCCCUCCACUCCACCCUAUCGCCAGCCCUCACGUUGCCAUGA
rnacentral:lncRNA from 1 species